CAUUAGGUUGGUACCCCAACACUGUUACUAUCCAUUCUACCAUUAGGUUGGUUCCCCAACACUGUUACUAUCCAUUCUACCAUUAGGUUGGUUCCCCAACACUGUUACUAUCCAUUCUACCAUUAGGUUGGUACCCCAACACUGUUACUAUCCAUUCUACCAUUAGGUUGGUACCCCAACACUGUUACUAUCCAUUCUACCAUUAGGUUGGUUCCCCAACACUGUUACUAUCCAUUCUACCAUUAGGUUGGUACCCCAACACUGUUACUAUCCAUUCUACCAUUAGGUUGGUACCCCAACACUGUUACUAUCCAUUCUACCAUUAGGUUGGUACCCCAACACUGUUACUAUCCAUUCUACCAUUAGGUUGGUACCCCAACACUGUUACUAUCCAUUCUACCAUUAGGUUGGUACCCCAACACUGUUACUAUCCAUUCUACCAUUAGGUUGGUACCCCAACACUGUUACUAUCCAUUCUACCAUUAGGUUGGUACCCCAACACUGUUACUAUCCAUUCUACCAUUAGGUUGGUUCCCCAACACUGUUACUAUCCAUUCUACCAUUAGGUUGGUACCCCAACACUGUUACUAUCCAUUCUACCAUUAGGUUGGUACCCCAACACUGUUACUAUCCAUUCUACCAUUAGGUUGGUUCCCCAACACUGUUACUAUCCAUUCUACCAUUAGGUUGGUUCCCCAACACUGUUACUAUCCAUUCUACCAUUAGGUUGGUUCCCCAACACUGUUACUAUCCAUUCUACCAUUAGGUUGGUACCCCAACACUGUUACUAUCCAUUCUACCAUUAGGUUGGUACCCCAACACUGUUACUAUCCAUUCUACCAUUAGGUUGGUUCCCCAACACUGUUACUAUCCAUUCUACCAUUAGGUUGGUACCCCAACACUGUUACUAUCCAUUCUACCAUUAGGUUGGUACCCCAACACUGUUACUAUCCAUUCUACCAUUAGGUUGGUACCCCAACACUGUUACUAUCCAUUCUACCAUUAGGUUGGUUCCCCAACACUGUUACUAUCCAUUCUACCAUUAGGUUGGUACCCCAACACUGUUACUAUCCAUUCUACCAUUAGGUUGGUACCCCAACACUGUUACUAUCCAUUCUACCAUUAGGUUGGUUCCCCAACACUGUUACUAUCCAUUCUACCAUUAGGUUGGUACCCCAACACUGUUACUAUCCAUUCUACCAUUAGGUUGGUACCCCAACACUGUUACUAUCCAUUCUACCAUUAGGUUGGUACCCCAACACUGU